rnacentral:tRNA from 1 species
AAAACUUUAAGUUAAAAUAAACUAUUAAUCUUCAAAAUUAAAAAUAAUUAAAAUUUUAAGUUUUA